CUUUAUAAAAGGGCUUUUGUAAC
rnacentral:piRNA from 1 species